rnacentral:tRNA from 1 species
GGGCGUAGUUCAAUGGCAGAACACCAGCCUUCCAAGCUGGAUACGUGGGUUCGAUUCCCAUCGCCC